rfam:Altererythrobacter sp. Root672 contig_1, whole genome shotgun sequence.
CCGGGCGCCGAUUUCGGGUCCGGUGGGACAUAGAGAGCGCCGGCUCUUUUGCCCCGGCGCGCCUCAUGCCCAGAUUGCUUCGCAAGGAGGAUUUGGAGAUGAGAA